rnacentral:lncRNA from 1 species
UGAAGACUGACAGAGAUCAUUGGCAUGAACAAAACCUGGGACUCUUACCACCUCGCUUGAGAUCUGACCUGUGUUGGGAACAGAACCCAGGCCCCUGCACCUGCUAGGAAAGUGCUCUACCACUGAGCUACCCUUCCAGCCCUAUUUCUUGACAUGUAACAUUUGGAUCUUUUGAAACUUAAUUUUAUUGUUCAGAAUAUUAUCUUGUCUUUUCUUUCUCUGUAAUAAAACAUGAUACUUG